GGAAGUAAAAGUGUAACAAGGUUUCCGUAGGUGAACCUGCGGAAGGAUCAUUAAUGUGUUGUCAUGGGGUUCGAUGCUGGCAGCCAAUUUUUGGAUGCAUGUGCUUGCCCUAACAAUCAUCUUCCAAACACCUGUGCACAUUUUUGAGGGAGUCUUGAGUUGGUUGCCGCUCUUGGGUGAUUUUCUCACAUUCCCUUAAAUCAUUAUACGCUAUUAACAAUGUUGAACGUGCUCUGUGCCGCAAGGCUAUUAAUAUAAUACAACUUUUAACAACGGAUCUCUUGGCUCUC
rnacentral:misc_RNA from 1 species